rnacentral:rRNA from 1 species
UACGGGGGGGGCAAGCGUUGUUCGGAAUUACUGGGCGUAAAGGGCGCGUAGGCGGCCUGCUAAGUCGGACGUGAAAUCCCCCGGCUCAACCGGGGAACUGCGUCCGAUACUGGUGGGCUCGAAUCCGGGAGAGGGAUGUGGAAUUCCAGGUGUAGCGGUGAAAUGCGUAGAUAUCAGGAGGAACACCGAUGGCGAAGGCAGGUCUCUGGGCCACUACUGACGCUGGAGAAGCGAAAGCAUGGGGAGCGAACAGG